rnacentral:tRNA from 1 species
ACUAUUUUGGCAGAUUAGUGCGGUAAAUUUAGAAUUUAUGAAUGUAAUUAUUUUAUUACAAAUAGUA